rnacentral:rRNA from 1 species
AUGGCGGACGGCGCCAGCAGCAGCGGCGCCCGGGACGGCGGGGGAGGCGGCGGCGGCGAGUCGGUGGUGAUUGACUACGGCCGGCGGCGCACGACCUGCGGCUACUGCCGAUCCACCGGCCCCACGAGCAUCUCCCACGGUCUGUGGGCUAACAGUCUGAAAGCUGAUGACUAUCAAGCUCUUCUUGACCGUGGAUGGAGGAGGUCUGGCAGUUUUCUCUACAAGCCUGAGAUGGAACGGACAUGCUGUCCGGCAUAUACUAUACGCCUGAAGGCAAGUGAUUUCAUUUGUUCCAAAGAGCAAGACCGUGUACUUAAAAGGAUGCAAAGGUUUCUUGAUGGAGAGCUUGAUCCACAGGUUGGAAGUCCACAGUGCAAGACUAACCCUACGAAACGUUCACUCAAUGAACCUAUGAAUUCACCAACCUUGAAAGUAUCCAGGGUAUCAGCAUAUGAAUUUCAAACAGCCACGGGUCCAAGUUUAGACAAAGAAGAUGAGUUUAUUAGUUUCCUGUCUAGCAAAAUCAAUGAGGCAAUAGCUACGUGCUUCCAAGGUGGAAUAGCAGGUUCUGAUGUUGAACUCCCUAAAGCUGUUGUGAAGACUGUUAAACCUCAAGUAAAAAAGAAAGUAGGAGGAGCAGCACAAGAAAAGAAAGGAGGAGCAGUGCAAGAUUUGGUGUACUCAUGUAAUGUAAGUUUCCAACUGGCUGCAGUAAUUAAACGUGCAUUGCCUGAAGAAAAACGUGGAGUAUUAGGGGACCUUUCACCAAAUUGUAUUGCAGAAAGACUGGUGUUGACAAUGGAACAUCAUGGAGAAAUAGCUGGUUUUGCAGUGAAAGCCUGUAAUGGCCAUCUGAACUUCUACUCAGCCACUAUUCAGCCAAUUCAGAACCAUACUAGCAUUGAUACAUGUGCACAAGCUUCUGAUAGGCCGACUAGCUCAAAACAAAGCUCUGUGAACAAAAAUGAUGCAAGACAUGGUAAAAAAGCAAGAAAGCUGGAAUUUAAGAUGGCAAGAUCGCAUUUUGACCCUGAGGAGUUUGCUUUGUACCAAAGAUAUCAGACAAAAGUUCACAAGGAAAAGACAGUUACGGAAAGCUCAUACAAGAGAUUUCUGGUGGAUACCCCAAUCGUACCUAUUCGCCCAAGGAGUGGUGAUAAUACAGUUCCGCCAUGCGGUUUUGGUUCAUUUCAUCAGCAGUAUAGAAUUGAUGGAAAACUUGUGGCAGUUGGUGUAGUUGAUAUCCUUCCGAAAUGUCUCUCAAGCAAAUAUUUGUUCUGGGAUCCUGACCUUGCUUUCCUAUCUCUUGGAAAGUAUACAGCUCUAAAGGAAAUAGAUUGGAUCAAGACAACACAGAAAAGUUGCCCCAGUCUUGAGUACUAUUACCUUGGUUAUUAUAUACAUUCCUGCAAUAAGAUGAGAUAUAAAGCUGCAUAUCGACCAUCAGAACUUCUCUGUCCAGUCCGUUAUGAGUGGGUGCGCUAUGAUGCUGCAAAACCAUUACUAGAUAGGAGCCUGUAUUCUGUUCUAUCUGAUUUCUCCACCAUGGCGCAAGAUGAAAUCCCCCAACCACACGCUUGUGGCCCUUGUGACGAAUCUUCAGCAAAAAAUGACCACAGUGAGACUCCUAUUGACGAGGAUGAUGAGGACUCAGAGUCGGACUACGACGAAUCAGACAUGAUGGUUGAUGAAGAGAUGGUUCAUUCAGAAUCCAAAGGUGAUACAGCUGAGGACUGUUCUGGCGUAGAUGUUGAAAAUGUUAUCAUGGACCUGAGCGGCUCUCGGGUUAAAUACAAGGAACUUCACAGCGUUGUCGGGCCGAUCGAAAGGAGACACCUGAGUGAGCUGGAAAGGCAGCUGAGCCGAUACGCGAAAGUCGUUGGGAAGGAGCUGUCUGACCGUAUCGUCUAUUCCCUUAGCUGA